GGCCCAGGGCCGCCCCCUCCAACCCGGCGUGUUUUUGGCAGCCGAACCCAUCCAGCAGCAGGGCAGGGAGUGCCUGAGGCUGAAGGUGACGGUGCUGGGCAGAGGCGCUCAGGCAUCGCCGUCCCAGCCUCGACACAGAAGGGGGGGAUCCAGGCAGAUGACGCAGCUGCGCAGGCGCUGAGGAGUGUGGGGCAGAACGCGGCCGUGAGGGGCAGCAGCCCCUUCCCCCUCAUCACCCUCCUGCUGCCCCUCCUGGUGCCGGGGGGGCUGUGAGCUGCGCCCCCCUCACCCACCCACCCCCCCCCCCCACCCC
rnacentral:lncRNA from 1 species